GCCAAUGUAAGCAGCAUUGGCAAUCAGUUCAUCAUGGUACUUUCCCUUAAAGCAAGACAUAAUUGUUCUUUGUUUUGAGAAAGAGGGAAGAAAGAAAUGAAAAGAUUACUGAAUAUAAAAGGGAAGAGAAAGCUGAGUACAUGAGAAAGAGGGUACGGUCACUAGGAAACCUCUGCAACGUUUAUGGAGGAUUUGCCAAUUUGUGGUCGUGUACGUGCCAUUUGUGCUAUAGGACUUUUUCUUCGGAGAAUA
rnacentral:misc_RNA from 1 species